GACGGGGGGGGCAAGUGUUCUUCGGAAUGACUGGGCGUAAAGGGCACGUAGGCGGUGAAUCGGGUUGAAAGUGAAAGUCGCCAAAAAACUGGCGGAAUGCUCUCGAAACCAAUUCACUUGGGUGAGACAGAGGAGAGUGGAAUUUCGUGUGUAGGGGUGAAAUCCGCAAAUCUACGAAGGAAGGCCAAAAGCGAAGGCAGCUCUCUGGGUCCCUACCGAGGCUGGGGUGCGAAAGCAUGGGGAGCGAACAGG
rnacentral:rRNA from 1 species